CCUACGGGUGGCAGCAGUGAGGAAUAUUGGUCAAUGGACGAGAGUCUGAACCAGCCAAGUAGCGUGAAGGAUGACUGCCCUAUGGGUUGUAAACUUCUUUUAUAUGGGAAUAAAAUGUUCCACGUGUGGGAUUUUGUAUGUAACAUAUGAAUAAGGAUCGGCUAACUCCGUGCCAGCAGCCGCGGUAAUACGGAGGAUCCGAGCGUUAUCCGGAUUUAUUGGGUUUAAAGGGAGCGUAGGUGGAUUGUUAAGUCAGUUGUGAAAGUUUGCGGCUCAACCGUAAAAUUGCAGUUGAAACUGGCAGUCUUGAGUACAGUAGAGGUGGGCGGAAUUCGUGGUGUAGCGGUGAAAUGCUUAGAUAUCACGAAGAACUCCGAUUGCGAAGGCAGUUCACUGGACUGCAACUGACACUGAGGCUCGAAAGUGUGGGUAUCAAACAGGAUUAGAUACCCUUGUAGUC
rnacentral:rRNA from 1 species